rnacentral:lncRNA from 1 species
CUGCCUUAGGUCCAUACUUUUAGAUGAGAAAACACUAACAACAUGAAAAAACAAGGGAAUAAAGUGCCCCAAACAAACCAAGAUACUUUAACAACAGAAGCCACUGAUAACACAGUAGAAGAAAUGUCCAAGAAGGAGUUCAGUUUGUAUAUAGUUAAACUGAUAUGUGACAUAAAGGACAGUAUAAGGAGCGAAAUCAAAGAAAAAGUACAGGAAGUAAAAGACCACUUCAAUAAAGAUCAUGAAAAAAAAAAAGCAGAAAUCCUCAAAAUGAGAGAAUCAGUAAACCAAAUUAUAAAUUCAAUAGAAAGCAUCACCAACAGACUAGACCACAUGGAAGACAGAACCUCAGACAAUGAAGAUGAAGUACAUAAUCUUGAAAGCAGAAUUAAACAUGUGGAGAAGAUGGUAAGAAACCAUGAACAGAACAUCCAAGAAUUAUGGAAUAACAUGAAAAGACCAAAUUUAAAAGUUAUCGGAAUAGAGGAAGGAACAGAGAUACAAACCAAAGGAAUGCACAGUCUUUUCAAUGAUAUAAUAGCAGAAAAUUUCCCAAACCUAGAGAAUGGAAUGGAAAAUCAAAUACAAGAGGCUUACAGGACCCCAAAUGUACAAAAUUGCUGCAGACCCACACCAAGACACAUUAUAAUGAGAAUGACUAACACAGAGAAUAAAGAUAAAAUAUUAAAGGCUGUGAGAGAAAAAAAUCAAAUUACGUAUGGAGGAAACCAUUUUGGAUUUCAACUGAUUUCUCAGCCCAUACCCUCAAAGCUAGAAGGUCCUGGAAUAAUAUAUUUCAAGCUCUGAUAGAAGACAGAUGCCAACCAAGAAUUUUAUAUUCAGUGAAGUUAAGUUUCAGAUUUGAAGAUAAAAUUAAAACAUUCCAUGAUAAACAACAACUAAAAAAAUUAAAAGAAUUCACAACUAGAAAGCCUAUACUACAGAGCAUUCUCAACAAAAUAUUCCAUGAGGAUGAAAUGGAAAAAAAAAAGAAGCAAAAACCAGAAAAGGGAGGAUCUACACUAAAGGUACAUUCAACCAAAUGAGAAACUAAGACCAAAACCAGAAAUAAAUCAAAAUGACAGGGAAUACAAAUCAUAUCUCAAUAAUUACCUUGAAUGUUAACAGCCUAAAAUCAUCAAUCAAAAGACAUAGGCUGGCAGAUUGGAUUAAAAAGCAAGACCCAACAAUAUGCUAUCUUCAAGGAACUCACUUCAUAGGCAAAGAUGUCCACAGGCUGAAAGUGAAAGGAUGGGGAAAAACUUAUCACUCCUGUGGAUUGCAUAAGCAAGCAGGGGUUUCCAUUCUCAUUUCAGAUAAAGUAGACUUCAAACCAAAGUUAAUCAGAAGACACAAAGAUGGACAUUUCAUACUUCUUAAGGAAGUAUAUGUAAGCAGGACAUAACAAUUAUAAAUGUUUAUACUCCAAACAAUGGAGCAUUAUGUACAUCAAUAAAACCCUUUUCAUUUUCAAGAUUCAAAUAGACCACAAUACAAUAAUACUGGGUGAUUUUAAUACACCUCUCUCAGUACUGGACAGAUUUUUCCAAACAAAAACUAAAUAAGGAAACUAUAGAACUCAAUAAUACAAUCAAUAAUUUAGACUUAACAGACAUGUAUAGAAUAUUUCAUCCAUCAACGAGCAAAUAUACUUUUUUCUCAGCAGCACAUGGCUUCUUCUAUAAAAUAGACCAUAUCUUUUUCCACAAAGCAACUCUCAGUAAAUACAAAAAAACAUAGAUAACACCCUGCAUUCUAUUAGACCACAAUGGAAUGAAAUUAUAAAUCUAUGAUAAAAUAAAAAAUAGAAGCUACUGUAACAAAUGGAGACUAAAUAAUACACAAUUGAAUGAUGAAUGGGUAGUAGAAGAAAUCAAGGAUGAAAUUAAAAAGUUCUUCAUGGUAAAUGAGAACACUGAUACAAUAUAUCAAAAUCUCUGGGACACUAUGAAGGCAGUACUAAGAGGAAAGUUUAUUGCAUUGAGUGCAUUCAUUAAAAGAAUAAAAAGUCAACAAAUAAAUGAUCUAACACUAUAUCUCAAAGCCCUAGAAAAAGAAGAACAAACCAACACCGUAAACAAUAGAAGAUAGGAAAUAAUUAAAAUUAGAGCUGAAAUCAAUGAAAUUGAAACAAAAGAAACAAUUGUAAAAAUUGACAAAACAAAACGUUUCUUCUUUGAAAAAAAUAAAUAAAAUAGAUAAACCCCUGGCCAUGCUAAUGAAGAGAAAAAGAGAGAAAACUCAAAUUACUGAAAUACAAGAUGAAGAAGGAAAUAUCACGAUGGACACAUCGGAAAUACAGAAGAUAAUUAGAAACUAUUUUGAAAAUUUAUACUCUAAUAAAAUAGAAAAUGUCAAAGAUAUUGACAAAUUUCUAGAGACAUAUUGACCUACCCAAACUGAAUGAGGAGGUCAUACAUGAUUUAAACAGAUCAAUUUCAAGUAAUGAAAUAGAAAACACCAUCAAAAGCCUACCAAUAAAAGCUCAAAACCAGAUGGAUUCUCAGCUGAAUUUUACAAGACUUGCAAAGAAGAAUUAACACCAAUCCUCCUCACUUAUUCCAUGAAAUUGAAAAGGAGUGGACCCUUCCAAACUCAUUCUAUGAAGCUAAUAUCACACUGAUACUAAAACCAGACAGACACAUCAAGGAAAUAAAACUUCAGACCAAUAUACCUGAUGAACAUAGAUGCAAAAAUUCUCAAUAAAAUUCUGGCAAGUUGUAUAUAAAAACGUAUUUAAAAGAUAGUGCACCACAAUCAAGUGGGUUUCAUCCUAGGGAUGCAGUGUUGGUUCAACAUAUGGAAAUCCAUAAACAUAAUUCACCAUAUUAAUAGACUUUAAAACAAGAAUCAUAUGAUCAUCUCAAUAGAUGCAGGAAAAGCAUUUGACAAAAUACAGCACACCUUCAUAUUCAAAACAUAAGAAAAACUAGGCAUAGUAGAAACAUACCUCAACAUUGUAAAAGCUAUGUAUGCUAAACCCAAGGCCAGCAUCAUUCUAAAUGGAGAAUUGAAAACAUUCCCUCUACAAACUGGAUGAAGACAAGGAUGCCCCCUUAUCACCACUUCUAUUCAACAUCAUUCUUAAAACUAGCCAGAGCAAUUGACACACAAAAGAAAUUAAAGGGAUACAAAUAGGUAAAGAAGAACUCAAAACUAUCACUAUUUGCUGAUGACAUGAUUCUAUAUCUAGAAGAUCCAAAAAUUCCACCAGAAAACUCCUAGAACUAAUAAAUGAAUUCAGCAAAGUAGCAGGAUAUAAAAUCAACAACCAUAAAUCAAAUGCAUCCCUAUACAUCAGCAAUGAAUCCACUGAAAGAGAAAUUAGGAAAAUUACUCCAUCCACAAUAGCCUCAUAUAAAGAAAAUAAAAUACCUGGGAAUCAAUCUAACAAAAGAGGUGAAAGACCUCUACAGUGAAAACUACAGAACACUAAAGAAAGAAAUUAAAGAAAACCUCCAAAGAAAGAAAUUGAAGAAAACCUCAAAAGAUCUCUCAUGCUCCUGGAUAGGCAGAAUUAAUAUUGUCAAAAUGGCCAUACUACCAAAAGCAUUAUACAGAUUUAAUGCAAUCCUAUUAAAAUCCCAAUGACAUUUCUCAUAGGAAUAGAAAAAGCAAUCAUAAAAUUUAUUUGGAAAAAAUGAGACCCAGAAUAGCUAAAGCAAUCCUAAGCAAGAAAAGUGAAGCAGGAAGCAUCCCAAUACCAGAACUUAAACUAUACAACAGAGCUAUAGUAACAAAAUUGGCAUGGUAUUGGCACCAAAAUAGACUUAUAGACCAAUGGUACAGAAUGGAGGAAACAGAGACAAACCCACAUAAAUACUGUUAUCUCAUACUAGACAAGGAUGUCAAAAACAUUCACUGGAGAAAAGAUAGCCUACUCAACAAAUGGCGCUGGCAAAACUGGAAAUCCAUAUGUAGCAAAAUGAAAUUAAACCUCUAUC